rnacentral:rRNA from 1 species
GAAUAUUGCGCAAUGGGCGAAAGCCUGACGCAGCAACGCCGCGUGCGGGAUGAAGGCCCUCGGGUCGUAAACCGCUUUCAGUAGGGAAGAAAAUGACGGUACCUACAGAAGACGCCCCGGCCAACUACGUGCCAGCAGCCGCGGGAACACGUAGGGGGCGCGCGUUGUCCGGAUUUAUUGGGCGUAAAGAGCUCGUAGGCGGUGUCGUAAGUCGGAUGUGAAAACUCCAGGCUCAACUUGGAGACGCCAUUCGAUACUGCGAUGACUUGAGUCCGGUAGGGGAGUGUGGAAUUCCUGGUGUAGCGGUGAAAUGCGCAGAUAUCAGGAGGAACACCGGCGGCGAAGGCGGCACUCUGGGCCGGUACUGACGCUGAGGAGCGAAAGCGUGGGUAGCAAACAGG